rnacentral:antisense_RNA from 1 species
GAAGACGCGGCCUGGCCCUGGCCGUUCGGCCCUUCGUCUGAGCGCAAAGGCUCCAGCACCUCCGCGGCCGAAGCCGCGGGACUUUUCGUGGAAAAUGGGACCCAGCCCGAUCGCCAGCGGCGCUGCAGGUUCUCCGGGAACCUAGCUUCUGCUCCAGGACCUCCAGGGCCACCCCAGCUCGCAGGGCGUUCGCAGCGGCUCAGGGCGAAUCACGCUCAUGGUCCCCGUGCGCAUUUUCAGCCCCAGCCGGUCUUUCCAGAGACACAUAGAAGGUGCCAUCUAUGAGGAACAGGCCUUCACCAGACAUCAAAUCUGUUGGCAUCUUGAUCUUUGACUUCUCCACCGCCAGAACUAGAUCAAGACAUGAAAUCCAUGUUCAAGAUACUUUCCAGUGUGUCUUCAUGUGAUCCUCUGAGUCCAGCCAUCAGGCUACCAGCAGCUCUUGGAAACCCUGACAUACUUAUUCUUAGAAGACUGCUUUCCGGACUCAAAGUGGAACCUCAAAUUUUCAAUUUUCUUUGUUUUUAAAGCCUACACAUAGGUGAUGAUAUAUACAUGCAUAUAUAUUUUGGAGAAUUCAUAAUUCUGAAAACAAUGCUGGUCUUCCAGAACCCACCCAUUCCCCUUUCCCCGUGUGUGCUCCGAGCUGUGGUGGCACGUGAAAAGGGGUCCUUCCAGCAGUGGCCCACAGCCCUGGGCUCCAUACUUGCUCACUUCAUUUACAAGAGCAAGAAAUACACAUUCUUGUGUUGUUUAAGUCAUUAUGAUGUGGGGAUUUGCAUUACUCACACACCUGAUCUAGUAGUAACACAGUAGCCUAUUUUAGCAAUAUCAUUUAUUCAAUAAUCCAUUCUUUCCCCAUUGGUUUUGAGCCUUCAUUUAUUGUGCACUAAGUUCUGGUUAUUUUUAGUGGUUGUAAUCUCCUUUCCUACUCUCUUAAUCAUGGGGUUGCCAACAUCUGCUCUGUGUUUCUGUGCCAUCUAUAGCCUCUGGCCUUGGUACUGCUUCAAAACUGAUAUUUCUAACCUUACUUUGACUUCUCCAUUCAGUGAAGUUCCCAUAGUUCAUCACUCAACUGCUCUCUUUCCAUCGUGACCUUCUGAACUAGCUCACACCCAGAUAUACUUUUGUUAUCUGCCUUUCCCCCUCAUAAACAUGGGCUGCUGCUGGGGAAAAUCCACUACAGAACUCUUGCAGGUCUCUGCAAAUGUUUAAUGCCCUGUCUUAGCCAUGACCUCCACAAUGCUGGGCUAUCCUAUGUUAUGUCCCCUAAGAUAUCCCUUCUCUCUUGCCUUUGGGGAUAGUCCUAAGCUUCCAUCAUGGCACUCAAAGUCCAACCUUAUUUGUACCUUCAUUCUCUGAGCAGACACCACCGUAUUCUGUUUCACAGAGAAAAUGUGACUGCUGGGGAUAAUUCUUUCAACUUCCUGGCCCCUUCCUAUACAUGAUCUUUCUCUGUAUUCUUGCCUAUUGCUCUUCCAUGUUGAUAGAAGUGUCUGUUCUCCUUGUCAGUGUCUCGGCCUUGGAUCUGUCCCCUAGUCUAUUCUGCCUGUGUAAGGACCUUCCCUGACCAGCUGGGCCACCAUCUCCUGCUUCUCCAAUCCCUCACUCUAGACUGACUCUUAACCUUUGGUCAACAAUACUUGAGCUUUUACAUUCAUAAUGGAGCAUCUGGGUUGAACCUUGUUCUUUUCUAGACACUACCCUCCGUUCUGUCUUCCAUCCAUGGUGACUUUUCUAGAAAGAGCAUCUAUCACACUGGAGACAGCAAACUCCUUGAUCCAUUCUAAUUCCUAACCCUGCAAUAAUUUUCUGUCUCCCUUACUCAAGUAAUUGGGAGUGCUCCUAGUGUUACCAGAGACCCAACAGUUCCCAAUUUCGAACUUUUCCGUGUUCACAUUUCUUGACUUGCUAUGAUUUUACAUCACAGAUUACAUCCUUCAUUUGAAGAGACUCUAAUGGAAGGUUGCCAUGGAAACUCUCUCAUGUGGCUGACCUCCUACCUCACUUGCUCUUUCUGAAUGAAGUUCCCACUUUUGCCUGCCUUAAUGAAAGUAAUGCUCCCCAAACUCAAGCCCAGGGCUGCGAAUUGGAAGCAUCUGGGGCUAUUGUUUCUGGGUGCUGGUGUGAAUGGCAGGAUGUGAACACAAGCCUAUGAUGGGCAAAAAGAUGGACACACAGGCAGAGCCUGACAGGUGCUGGUGGUCCUAUCUGGUCCUGAGUUGCUGGGACCCUCCUUGCCCACUGCCCCUAGAAUGGACUUUGGCCUCAGGUUUGAAGUGUUCAGAUGUGACUGAGAUGAGCCUUUUCCCCAUGCCUCAGGAAUAGCAAAGAAACUCUAUCUGGAAGGUUCCCCAGGGUUCCCCACCCAGCAGCCUCUGGUAUUAGACCAGGCAGUGGCUGGCCAGGAUGGUGGGGACAGAAGGGAGACAAAAGUGAGCAGUGGGUGGGGUCACAUCCUCCCUGACAUUGAAUAGACAACAUGGGGAGGAAGGAUGAGUGAUCUUUAGAACGUUCAUGGAAAAUGCAUAUUGGGAAAAAGAAUGCAUGAAUUUAGAAUUAUUUUGCAACAAAAUAAACUUGUACUAACUUGUGAAAACAUGUCUGAAGAGGAUCUAGUUUGAGGCCCUAAGAAGUAGAAGGCAACAGUUUGAACAGAGCUCCUAUCAGACACAUGAAUUCUGCUAAAAUUGAAACCAGAACAAACAUGCAAUCGAUGGUGAAGCUUGGCUGGAAACGUGGUGAAAUCAUUGAUGAUUUAUUGAAAGUUUAUAGGGACAAUGCCUCGAAGAAAUCAGCAAUUUAAGUAAGCGGAUAACUCAUUGGAAGAAGAGAAGAGAUGAUGUUGGAGAGGAAGUCCACAGCAGCAGACCAGCCACAUCAGUCUGUGAGGAAACAAUUCAUCUUGUUCGUGCCCUAAUUUAAGAGGACUGAUUAAUAGCAGCAGAAACAAUAGCCAACGCUGUAGGUAUCCCAAGGUGUUCAGCUUACACAAUUCUGACUGAAAUUAAAGUUGAGUAAACUGUCCACUCGGUGGGUGCCAAAACUUUCUCCCAGCUCAGCUGCAGAUAAGAGAAAAGCGUUCUAUGGCCAUUUUAAACAAGCGGAAUCAAGAUCCUGAAGCAUUUCUUCAAAUAAUUAUAGCCGGAGAUGAAAUGUGGCUUAACCAGUACACUCCUGAAGGCAAAGCUCAAGCAAAGCAAUGACUACCUAGAGGUGGGCGUGGUCCCAUCAGAGUAAAAGCAGACAUGUCAAGGGCAAAGGUCGUGGCAACCGUUUUGUGGAUGCUCAAGGCAUCUUGCCUAUUGACUUUCUGGAGGGCCAAAGAACAGUAACAUCUUAUUAUGAGAGUGUACAGAGAAAGUCAGCCAAGGAUUUAGCAGGAAAACACCCAGGAAAUCGUCACCCCGGAAAGCUUCACCAGAGAGCCCUUCUCCACCAUGACAAUGCUCCUGCUCAUUCCUCUCAUCAAACAAGGCCAGUUUUGUGAGAGUUUCAAUGGGAAAUCACUAGGCAUACACCUUCCAGGCCUGAUUUGGUUACUUCUGUUUUAUAAUUUUAAAAAAUCUUUAAAGGGCACCCACUUUUCUUCAGUUAAUAACGUCACAAAGACUGAAGUGGCAUGGUUAAAUUCCCAGGGUGCCCAAUUCUUUAGGGAUGAACUGAAUGGCUGGUACCAUCACUUGCAAAAGCGUCUCGACCUCGAUGGAGCUCAUGCUGAGAAAUAAAACAUUUUUAAAUUUUUAUCUUUUAAUUCAAUUUUUUCGUGAACUUUUGAAGUCCCCUUGUAUUUGUUUUCGGUGGAACUUUGAGUCUGAUAUCUCAGCUCCCCAUGGAUGGCUGCAUCUUAAUAGAGAAAUGAACGCCAUUUACCCUGAUGCUCUCUACUUGGCCUAAGUUUCAGAUGUUGAACACACACGUGUGGGAAUUUAUGAAUCUGUGCACCUGUGCCAGCUGGUGGGUGAAGUCUAAGUUUCUUCAACACAAUUAGUUAUCUUCUGCCUCCUGGAAUCUGGUAGGAAAGGUUGAGGAAAAGCAGCCAUCCACAGUGCCUCCACCACUGGAAUGGGGGCAGCCCUAACGUGUGCCCCACUGCCCCCCAUGCUGAGGAGUCCUUCACUCCAGGGAUGUCUUCACCCCAAUCAUUCAGACUCCCCCAGUGUUCCUGCAUCACCUGAAAGGUCGGAAGCAUCUCAGCACAUACUCUCCAUGAGUGGUACUUAGGCCUCCCUCCCCAUCAAUACUGAAGCCCUCAGAGGCAGAGGGGAGUCAAGGAAAAGAGUGGCCAUCAGCAAUAAAUGAGUUACAAGGUUGGAUUUCAAAGAGAAAAACUUGUCACCAAAAUCACUACUCAGGAGAUCUGGACUUCCUCUGAAUGUGAGUUAAAGAACCCUUGAGGGUUAAGAGCCAACUGCACCUGAUCCCCACUCUCCCAUCCCAAGACCCUGGGAAGUCAAACCAAGAGGUAAUCAACAGAAAACAAGUUUAAUGCAACAGGUGACAACGGUCUGGAGCGAGUCCAUGCUCCAGAAGGCUCAGUCCGUGGCAGUCCCGUGGCUCAAGACAGGCUGAGGCCGGCUGCAAUGGAGGCCAGCAGCAGGAGGAUGGCCAUCCACAGCCCACCACAGCUCUCACCCAUGCUCCCAGCAUAUUCUUUGAACACUGAUGAGUUGAUAGGUGGCCCCUCUAAAUUGCAGUAGCGAAUUUUACAACACUUGAGGUAAAAGAAGGGCAUGGGCUCUUCCAGGAGAAACCACUUCUCCUCUGGCUUGGGUCUCUCAGUCGCUGCACAACCAGCGGAGCACUGCUUCGAAAUCACGAAAAAACGUGGAAAUAUUUCUAAUAGGAAAUAAAGACCGAGAGAAGGCAAUCACGCAAUUCCAAUGCCUGACACCGAGGCCCUUCUGUCUGGGUCAAAGCCUCACCCCUGGCGGCCCUGCUCAAAGGUACACACUCAAUUGGGGCACCAAGGGGGAGUCGGGAGGACGAGGGCCAGGCCUGUGUGUUGAAUGCUGCUUCAGGGAAGGGCUGGCUUCUGCGUGGUAUGGCCUGUCCAUAUGCACUGGGAAUGUGGGUCUAGGGGUUGCUGUUUGGGAACAAACAGGUCUCAACUUCUCAAACACAGGGUUGGCUCAGGCCUUUGUGACCACAGACAGACACAUGACUCCCAGCCAUUCUGGCCAUCACCCAGGGUGUGGAGCUGGCCUCUUGGUGGGCCUGGCUCAACUCUGAGCUGGGGGUCUUGUCUCAUGACCACACUUCAUCUUAUACAUCACUGUACAAAUCAUUUUGCCAUAUUAAGUUAUAAAGUCGAUGUGGGCCACACUGAGUCUGAAGCAUCACCUCAGCACCCCACCAACUUCGUGGAUACCGAAGGGCUGGAGAGUGACUGCUGGGCGGAAUCAGAAUUCACGAGCCCUGAAGAUCUCCCUGUGGGCAGAAUGUGCUGGGUGUCCAGAUUCCCCUUGGGGAGGGCUUCAUGUACCCAGAGGUUUUCAGGGGAAUCACAGAUGACAGAGCAGUGGUCUCCACAAUUUUUAAGGCAUGCAUCCUCCUUUGAGAACACACUUGAAGGCUGUACACCUUGGUUUUGUGCAUCUCUUGUAAGAGUGACAUAGACACUGUUCUCUGUGGCGCAUUUAACAUUAUUAAAGCUUAAUUUUUCAUUUAAAAAUGGA